GGGCGUGUCCUGAUCUUGGGGCUCCUGUCCCGAGUUGUCCCGAACUAUCCCGUAGCUUCCCGCGUCGUCCCCUCUGACCCCGCCGCCGACAGUCCUGCCGCCCUGGGUGAGUCACUGCGGGACCACGUCGCACAGGACCCUCCGGCGGCCUUCAGGGCCCGUGCUGCGACCCCCUGCCCCCACAGGAGGAGAAACUGAGGUCCCGAGGGGAGAGCGGCUGGAGGUCAUCUCCGAGCCCCGGCCCGCUCCCGGUUCCCUGCCCGCCCCCUCCGCCCCAGUAGACCUCUCGGGAUUCGUGUCCUCGAGAAACGGGCCUGUGGGGUCGGCCGACGCUGCUCCGGAGCCGGCGGGCGUCCGGCCCCCGCCCUCACCUCCCGGUGGGAGGACUUGUCCCCUGAUGGCGAGAAACGGGUUCGGCGACGCGUGGCCCGAGGUCCCGCGGGGCGUCGUGCGGAGCCGGGUGUGAACCCGGGCCGGAGGGGCGCCAGAGCCCCCCGAGCCUCACCGCCCACCUCCUCCUCCGACUCCUGGCAUUUAAUCCCCCAAGGCCGCUCGUCGGUUCCUGCAAAGACCCUUAACUCAUUUUCUCUCAAUAACGUUUAAAGGAAAGUGUUAAAACCUCCAUUUUAUAGACCGGUUGACUGAGCCUUAAAUUCAGGACGCUCCCAGGGCCUCCGAGGGGCGGAGUCUGGAUUCCUGCCUCCUGCUUUCGCUAAAGCCCCUUCCCCAUGCUUGUCCCUGCCUAGGCUCUGCGGCUCUCUGGAGAUGGAGGAAGACUUUUCCCUGGACGGCUCUGCGGGCUCUGCAUCAGCCAGCGCCCCCGUCUCUCCUGCAGGACCCUGCUCUGCACUGCCUGCUGCCCCGCUAUGUCCAGGGGGGAGGCUGUCCCCUAGGCCCAGUGCCUGGCAGGUGUCCAGCGUUCAGGAGCUGUGGAACAAAUGCACAGCAGGAGAGAAGAAAAGGAGAGACACAUCCUUGUAAGGUGGCAUGGCUCAUCACGUGGAAGAUUUGAGAAAGACUACACAUGAGCCAGCCAGCCAGGUGGAGAGGAGGCAGCUCGGUACAGAAGGGCCCUUGAGAGGUGUCUCCAUCGUGUCAGGAAGCAGCUGGACGACAGUGCUCCCGAGGUGAGAUGAAUCCACUGUGUGCGGAGGCGAUCACGGGAGCUGUCAUGUCAGGAACAUUCUAGACCUCAGUGUUCUUGACGUAAGAUCUCUAGAGGGUCCAUUCUCUGGAGUGUUGGUUCCUUGCAUCCGGGGCACUGCUGUGGGUCUGGAGAUUGUUGGAGGAAGCCUCAAGGCGGUGGAGGCACUCGCCCUCUCAGGAUGCUGACCUGGGUCGAGCUCUCCUGGGGAGGCCUCCUUGUGGUUAUUUUGGGGUUGAUCGUGGACACUGCAGCGGAGUGAAGAGUGAUGCUGCAAUGUGACGCCUUGCCAGACCUUCUUACCCUGUUGCCUCAGCACGACAGAGGAGGACUUUUCCCUCAGCGUGAGUGGGGUCUCAGGGAUUAUGUCCAGAGCUGGCUCUGCCCUUCCCCAGCAGUGUCACAGAGUGUCGUGGACCAAGAAGUCUCGUUUCCUUUCAUCUGGGCCAGGUCAUCCAGUGGCCUCUGUGUCCCCCUGCAUACUCUGGUGUAACUUUUUAGAACCGAGAGUUUUCUGUGCUGUGCAUCCUUGUCCUCUCGCCCCCCAAUAAAUCGUGAAACUGCC